rnacentral:rRNA from 1 species
UACGGAGGAUCCAAGCGUUGUCCGGAUUUAUUGGGUUUAAAGGGUGCGUAGGCGGAUUACUAAGUCAGAGGUGAAAGUUUGCAGCUUAACUGUAAAAUUGCCUUUGAAACUGGUAGUCUUGAGUAUAGUUGAGGUGGGCGGAAUGUGUCAUGUAGCGGUGAAAUGCUUAGAUAUGAUACAGAACACCGAUUGCGAAGGCAGCUCACUAAACUGUAACUGACGCUGAGGCACGAAAGCGUGGGGAGCAAACAGG